rnacentral:misc_RNA from 1 species
AAGUCGUAACAAGGUUUCCGUAGGUGAACCUGCGGAAGGAUCAUUACCGAAGUACAGGCCCUCACGGGCUACACUUCCACCCUUUGUUAACUACACUUUGUUGCUUUGGCGAGACGCCUUCGGGCCACCGGCUUCGGCGGGUGCGCGCUCGCCAGAGACCCCAAAACCCAAACCUUUUUAGUGUCGUCUGAGAACAAGUUUAAUAAUUAAAA